CUGCUCUUCUUAUAACUUUUCAAUGCCUCUUCAUUUCUCUUAGGAUAAAAUCCUGACUCCUGUAGUUCGUGUGUAGGGUGACUAUAUGACUGAUAUUCAACCUGGGAUGGCUGUGAAUACGAAUGUAAGGAAAACAGAUGCAAGGGGGACUGCCACGGGAAAACCAAGAUGUAUCCACGAGACCCUGCUAGAUCUGGCUGCAGCCCCAACUCUCCCUGUCCCCAUCUGCCCACCUUGCUCCAGAUUAGACAUUUCUGGACCUGGCAACGGAACCUCUGUUAGGGCUGAAACUAAAGACAACAAUGAUUCUGACCCAGGAGCCUGGGCUCUAAACUCUUUGGGAAGUGGGCCCACUUUCCACACGGACAAACGAACGGCAGCUCAUGAACAAAGAGGCACAGGAAGAGGGAAGGGGGUCAGGGAAGGUGACAUUUCCCGAGUGCCCACGCAAGGCCUGGAUCGCCACAUGCUUCAAUUCAUUUAUGAACAGCCACUAGAGGAACACGGUGACACUGAGGUGGAGAGAAAGAAACGAGCGUUUUGGCAGUGGAUGGGGUCUGGGGGUGCUGACAGCUGAGCCAUUCCAUGCACCUUUGGAGCAAAGAACUGCCGGAAACCAGGGCCAAGUUCAGAGCCUGAAAUUUUUUGAAAGGCUACAAGGAGAAACCUGGGGGGCCUGAUCACACAUUACAUAAGCCGUAUGUGAGCGGAGGAUGCCACCGAUGCGAGGAACCCAGUACCUGUCAGAAUUGCGCAAGUUUUACGCAGAAGCACUUAAGUGUUGCAACAUGACUCCACAUCUUUACCAAAAAUGUGAAACAUCCACCCAGCACACACUUUAAAAACACUAAAGGUCCUCUCCACCAGGUGGCUAAGGCUGCUUGAUGAGGCUGACAGGAGAGGAGCUUUGCAGGGGGCCUGACUUACUGUAGCUCUUGGCCCAGGGAGCUGAACACGCAGUACUUUGCACCCCAAUAGCCUUGGGCAGCCCAAGCCUCUGAUAAAAUGUACUUUUUUGUGUGUUUGUUUUUCCUGGCAGUCUCAUUUUGGGUUAUAAAUGGCUCAUUAUUUCCAUCCCAUAGAUCCAUUCUUGCCUCUGUUGCGUUCUCUUUCAGCUUUCCAAAAUAACCGAAAGGUUGGUAAAAUCAACGCUGGCGAACGGCUUGUUCUGACCUUGAGCAGAGGCCGAAUUUCCACAUUGCUCAAGCCAUCUACGGUUGCUCCUGUGUCCGAGAGGCUGGCUGGAAAGGCCUCCUGAAAGCAGGGGAUAUAAUUAUACUUACACUAAAGCACUUGUUGCCAUUAAAUGCCAGGAAGUGGCAUGGACCUUCCCUUGCUCCUGCCCUGCAACCUUUUUGGAGGACUAUUGGGCAAUCAUCAGAGGUUAUAGAGUUGGAACAGCAUUCCCCCCAGAUAGGUCAUUUUCCCUGCAGGACAGCUUGGAGGCAAAUUUUAUUGAGUAUCAAGUAGCUGACCCAAAGCAGUAUAAAUAGCGAGAGAGCAUAUGACAAACCCAGAAAUGAAUGUGGUUAAACCCCAGGCUGAAGAUAUAUAAUGUGUUUACUAUUAUCAGCACCUGCAUGAAAAUAUUUUUACCCAGUAGCCUUCCAGGAAAAGAUGAAACAUGUAAGUGAUGUUAUUAAGGCUUAAUCGUAGAAAAAUAAUUUUGACCCUACUUUUGGAAGUCUGUGGGCCACAGAGUUAAUUUGGGGAAGGGACCUGAGGAUAGGUUGGAUGUAACUGGGUGUCAUAGGAGGUACAGACGGACCCUGAUAAAACAUCCCAAGUUCGGCCAGUUAAAAGCCAGGGGGAAAACACAUGGAGGUAUAGUUUACAUUGGGUAGGAACUGUACGCAGUCACUAUCAGGCAAAAGGGACUUCUGAGUUGGAAUUUUUGGAGAGAAACAUGGAGAACAUUUUAAUUCAGGCCUGUUUUCCUCCAUUGUUCCCUACCUUUAUUCUAGGACAUACCACAGAGUACAAACCAUGCUUUAGUGAUAUCGAUCAGGCCACAGAUGACUGAGUUAUGAGAGGCCAUGAACUUUCCAAGGUCGGUUUCCUAAACCAGUGCUUCUCAUCAGUCUGGUCCCCACUGGCCAGAGCUGUUGACAUCCUGGAAGAUAAUCUUAUAUUCCUGCAAAGGUAGGAGAAGGCUCUGGGGAGAAAUGGUGUAAGUUUUUAUUUUUUACUUUUUAUUAUUAUGGGGACAUAACACGUGUAGGUAUUUAUGGCGGAGAUACUUGUGAUGUUCUGAUACACGCAUGUGGUGCAUAAUAAUCACAUCAUGGUAAUUGGGGUGUCCAUCACCCCAAGCACUUAUGUCUUUUUGUUAGGAACAUCCCAAUUCUACUCUUUUAGUUUCAUUUUUGUUUUUGAGAGACAGAGUCUUGCUCUGUUGCCCAGGCUGGAGGGCAGCGGCAAGAUCACGGCUCACCGCAACCUUGACUUCCUGGGCUCAAGUGAUCCUCCGGCCUCAGCCUCCCAUGUAGUUCUAUUAAUAGAACUAAGACAAAAAAGGCCAUAGGCUUUCAGAGGCCAUGGUGACCACAAGAGGCUGAUGCACCACCAUGCCUGGCUAAUUUUUGAACGUUUCCAAGAGAAGAGGUCUCCUUAUGGUGCCGAAACUGGUCUCGAACUCCUGGGCUCAAGUGAUCCUCCUACCUCGGCCUUCCAAAGUGCUGGGAUUACAAGUAUAAGCCACAUACCCAGUCUAGCAAUUUAAAAAUAUACAGUAAAUUAUGGUUGACUGUUGUCGCCCGGUUGUGCUGUCAAAUACCAGAUCUUAUUUAACUAUAGUUUUGCAGCCAUUAACCAUUCCCAUUUUUUCCCCUUGCUCCCUGCUACCCUUCCCAGCCUCUGGUAACCAUCAUUCUACUCUCUAUCUCCAUGAGUUCGGUUGUUUUAAUUUUUAGCUUCCCCAUAUGAGCGAGGACAUUUGAAAUUGGUCUUUCUAUGAGGAAUGGCAUGAGUUUGACAUAGAAUGCAAUUUGUUGAAGCACUCAGGGUCAGCAAAUUUCCAACACAUCCCUGGCCCUGCCUACAGCCUGCAGCUUCCUGUAUGCCUUGUAAAGGGAGACUUCUGUUUCUACCAGAUCUGAGUUCUAAAAGUGUUUUUAAGAAU
rnacentral:lncRNA from 10 species